GCUUACGGCCAUACCACCCUGAACACGCCGAUCUCAGAAGCUAAGCAGGGUCGGCCUGGUUAGUACUUGGAUGGGAGACCGCCUGGGAAUACCAGGUGCUGUAAGCU
rnacentral:rRNA from 1 species